UACGUAGGGGGCAAGCGUUGUCCGGAAUCAUUGGGCGUAAAGAGCGCGUAGGCGGUCCGGUAAGUCCGCUCUGAAAGUCCGGGGGCUCAACCCCGGGAGGCGGGCGGAUACUGCCGGGCUAGAGUCCGGAAGAGGCGAGUGGAAUUCCUGGUGUAGCGGUGAAAUGCGCAGAUAUCAGGAGGAACACCCAUGGCGAAGGCAGCAAACUGGUCAUCAACUGACGCUGAGGCGCGAAAGCGUGGGUAGCAAACAGG
rnacentral:rRNA from 1 species